GACGAACGCUGGCGGCGUGCUUAACACAUGCGAGUCGAACGGAAAGGCCCUGCUUGCAGGGUACUCGAGUGGCGAACGGGUGAGUAACACGUGGGUGAUCUGCCCUGCACUUCGGGAUAAGCCUGGGAAACUGGGUCUAAUACCGGAUAGGAGCCAUUUUUAGUGUGAUGGUUGGAAAGUUUUUUCGGUGUAGGAUGAGCUCGCGGCCUAUCAGCUUGUUGGUGGGGUAAUGGCCUACCAAGGCGGCGACGGGUAGCCGGCCUGAGAGGGUGGACGGCCACAUUGGGACUGAGAGACGGCCCAGACUCCUACGGGAGGCAGCAGUGGGGAAUAUUGCACAAUGGGCGCAAGCCUGAUGCAGCGACGCCGCGUGGGGGAUGACGGCCUUCGGGUUGUAAACUCCUUUCGCUAGGGACGAAGCUUUUUGUGACGGUACCUAGAUAAGAAGCACCGGCUAACUACGUG
rnacentral:rRNA from 1 species